rnacentral:lncRNA from 1 species
AACUGUAGGUAUGUACAAUUAUUAAAAUUAAUAUUUUAUACCUUAUUGUUAAUGUUAAAUGAAUAUGUAGUAUCUAUAAUCAGAACUAGUUUAAUUUGAAAAUUAUAAUUGUAAAAUAACAUUUAUUAUUUGAUUGAAAAUUGCUCUAAUUAAUUGUGUACAACCUUUUGAAUUUAAAUGUUUAAGUUAAUUUCUAUUGGGUAUAAGAUGUCAUAAAAGAAAAAUAACAUAUACACAAAUCUUCAUAGCUUCAAGUGCCAGUUAUAUUCAUUGUACAAGAUAAUGAAGUUCCAACUGAAAAAUGUUAUGUUUUUUAUGAUAUUGAAACUCAAGUGAAAAAAAAUACACUUAUUACGCUCUAACUGAAUAUUUAAUUAUAAGUUAGAUUGCUUAUAGUUAAAUACAUUUUGUUUCUUAUUUAGACUGAUCAUUACAAGUCAUUGGCAACAAAUUUCUUGGUGAUAAAAUUGUACCACUUAUGGAACUGGACAACAUACUUGACUUCUCAUUAAUUAAUAAUUGGACAGAAAACAAUAUUCAUUCUCUAGGUUUAAUCAAAAUCACUAUGAAUACCUACAUUCGCCACCUGUAGACUCAUCGAAAUUGUAUUGGUAUUUUCCAGUUUUGAAAUUAAUUUGCAUGAUCUAAUUGAUUUUUAAUUUUUACAUAAACAUUCUGUAGAAUUAAAGUUCACUAAAAAACCAUUAACAUUGACUAUAUAACUGUUAUAGCCACUUGAUUUGUAAUAGUUAAUGCGAUUACCAGUGAUCUACUCAGACCAGACAUAUGAAUAGUCUUGCCUACCACAUCAAAACAUAACCUAGGCGGUUUCACAAGGAGGACACAUCAAUUUUUAGUUGUUUAGGCGCAGGAAUACAAAUUUUUCUCGUAAACAAAGUAUGUUAUACAUAUCAAUUAUGUUUUUUGUAAAUCAUUUAAAUCAAAAUAAUAUUAAUUACUUAGCUGGAAUCCUAAUGGAAUGCAAUCUGAAAUUACCUUUCAUUUGAUCUGGACAUUGAGAAAAUCAACAAUUGCUCAUAACAAAAGAAUAUAGUUAUUUACCCAUUAAAAAAUGAGGGUAAUUAUUUAGUUUAUGUCAAAACAUCUUAGCUUAAAAAAUUACCAGUCAUUUUGACAGUAAGUAAAAUAAAAAUUUGUUUAGAUAAAAUUAUAAGCUUCAAGCAUUUGUAGUAUGAUACAAGGAAAUAUACAUAUUUUUUAAAACUUAAAUAAUAUCAAAUAAUAUUUAUUUAAUGAAAUUGAUAAAUAAAGUUACCUACUCAAUAUUUUGAAAACCCUUUAAUUAGCUCAAUAUUUUGUGAAUAUUAUUUUAUAAGCAACAGAUUAAGGAAACUAGAGCUGAUUACCUUUAAACAUACUGAAAACAAGUUCUAUUUUUUUUAAUAGAAUACAAUUUAAAAUUUAGUUUUACUAUAAUGUGUGUUUUUUGUAUUAAGUGUAGCACCUUUAGUUGGUAUAUUAGAGAAAUUAGUUUUUGAUUUUAAAAGAGGUUUUAUAAAUAAUUGAGAAAAACCAGAAAAAAAAUGAUGGGAGUUUACAAGUUUUG